UUUUCCUUUUCUAAAAAAAAUUCUUAGUCCUUGGUUGUCCCUUGAUUUGCACAAGAUAUGAGCUGCAGAUUCUACUUCGAAUGGAGAUUCUGCGAUCAGAUGUUGCAGCGGUGAUGAGUGACUCAAGAAAACAGAAGCUACUGCAGCAGAUAUGCUCCCAGUUAGAGAUCAUUCAGUUCCUCGUGGCUGGUGGAAUUCAUGGUCAUGUUAGCUUAUACGAUUAUGUUGAGCGUACUAUCAAAGCAAGGUAAACACUCUUCUCCAAUCAUCAAUACGUCCAUGUAGCAAUUUAUGUAUUUAGCCUUUUCUUUUAAUGUAGCUAAGCAUGAAUAAAAGAUACAGAACUCAAGUAAACUUACUUGAAAGUACAAGAAUUGUGAUACAAGCAAUAAAGCAUUCUGGAUUAAUCUAUUUUCUGCUCUUUUGGUUACUCAUACUGUUUGUUUGUGAGUGAGCGUCAUCCCCCUUUUGCGGUUGUAACUGGUUAACCAAUUUCUUCUGUGCUACGAAUAAGUCCUGCAUCAAGAAAUAUGAAACUGCGGUCUUAUUAUUAUAAUUUUUAUGAUAAACUUUUGAUCUACGAGCCUUCAUUCCUGAAUGGUAUUCAAUAUACAAGACUAGCAAUAUCAACGACCUUGUGAAAAUGUGGUCGCAUGUCACAAAGGAAAUCUAAUUUUAAAAAAUUAAAAGGUCUCAAUUGAGCGGUAUUCAAUGAAUAAACAUGAAGGGAGGAGUUUGGUUUGAGUUCUAACAUCCAUAUUUUGUACAGGUAUUCAGCCAAACUAGAAGAUGUUGUGAAAGGCAUAUACAGUGAAAUGGACUUGCUGCCAUUUGGUGAGGAAGAUGAAGCUCCGAGCCUCCUGUUUAACAGUGAGGAUAGCAAUCAAUCAUGGAGAGAUAAGUACGACAGAAAAGACAGGCCGAGGCCAACAGCCUCAACCAUUCAGUCUCCACUGAAGGAGAGCCCUCACAUGAUAGUCUACAAGAGAGUGGAAUAGAUGAUUAUACACGCAGCCUUAAUGAAGCUCGCGAGAGAAGGGAGAGGGCUCGAAGAUUUGCACCCUUUGUAAGCAAGGCUCUUGAUCUGCAGAGAGUCUGGGCACCUCAGCAACAACCCAAGGCAACGAAAUGUAAGUAUGAUCCUCGUCCCAGCAAAUCAAAACGGAAGGAUAAGCAAAAUCACAGCUACAGUGUGGUUUGUGAGACUCCAAUGACUGGAAAUAAACGCGCUUGCUCUAGAGCUGGAACUCAUGAUCUUGGCAGCUCGUCGUCUUCUACUGUUUCCAAGGCUUUGUUUCAAGACUGAUGAUGAUUCCCUUCAAUCGAGUUAUACAGAAACUAACACUGAUGUUAGAAAAACUAAUGGCCAAUAAGUUGGUGAACAAGCAUUUGUUUUCAUUACUGUCAUGUAGAUAUCUUAUUUACUUGCACAGUUUUUUUUACCAUGUAUUCAGCACUUUAAACGUUGUAACUGAUGUAUAAUGUAUUCAUACUCCUUACUUUUCACAC
rnacentral:lncRNA from 1 species